UCUGCUGUGGUCCACGUCUUAGUAGCUGACUGCCUGUUAGCUCCUUCUUCCCUCAGCCUUUACAUUUUCUCAGUUUCUGCAAAGUUAUGAGCAGCCAUGGGAGACCGUGUAACCUGGUCUUCCGUGCUUUGAGAGGGUCUAAGUCUCCAUCGAGCCUCAGAACAGGGAAAAACUGGAAUGCUCCAGAGCAGAUCUUGGCACAGAAACACUCUCUGCUUUGCCAAGCUCCCACUGUGAGAGCGAGUGCAGAAGGGAAGGACUUUUCCUUCUCAUGGUAAUACAGACAACAGGACAGUACACUUACUACAGCUCAUUGGUCUAUGAGGUUUGAUCAUCCUCAUUCUCCAGAAGACAAAGCUGGAGAGACCGAGAACCAGCAGACAAAAUUCGCCCCAGUCCACCCCAUCCCACCUAAACCUGCCCGAGAGCUGUUGUAGCCAGGCUGUAAAUCUCCAUCUGUCGCAGCUCAGCAGUCACCUGACCUUCUGCUGCCAAGACCUUGACCCCAUGACCCUGACGAGCGUGCCUGCUGGUCUAUCACCGCCCCCUCCUAACUCCCCGGACACACACUGCCACUGCAGCCCCUCUGGCUGCCUCUUCCUAUUUCUAUUCCCCCAUCUCCUUGUCCUCGUUCCCCCUGGUUGCUGCAGAUUGGAAAUAAUCACCCUGCUUAAUUCAACACGCAUCUCUGCAACCCAACAUCUGCUGAUCCUGUUCUGCUGAACCAAAAAACCACCAUAACUGCUUCUCCAUUUAGUUGUCUUUUAAAAAGGUUUCAAAAAGGAUACAGUGAGUCUUGUCCUGAUUUUCUGAACAAAAUUACUCUGCAAGGAUGAAACUGCCUAUAAAAAAUAGAAAAGAUUUUAAUAGACACAUGCCUAAGAUAAGUGCUAUAAAUAUCUGUAUAGUAGGGAGAUUGGGUUCUAAAAAACAACACUAUGUAUGAAACGGAAGUCUAAAGAGAGGCUUGACAGCGAUGACUGAAGACCAAUGUCCUGGACUGGCCUUCAAGAUAUAAGCAGAAUGCACAGUGAAUACAAGGAAGCUAGACUUAUAAAUAGAUGAAGUUGUGUGAGAUGGAGGGCAGAUAAAAUCAUGUCCUGCAAACAGACAAAGAGGAAAAGAAGCUCUAGUGAAAACACAUUGAUUUGAUGUUUCCUAAAAUCUAUCCUUUAAAUGAUAUUUCAGGAAAACCACUGCAGUGCAGAGGAGCACUGAUCUAGUGUGUUUGGGAAUGAUGACUGAGAAGGGGGGAACUGUGUUUUUGUUGUUGCCUCUCUAAAUUGAUAGAGUAUCAAGUACAUAACCCUUUUACCAUGUUGCCUGUGUGAAUUGGCAACACUGAGCUAUUCCUUUGGUCUGAACACUUCUGUAGGCAUACAUCUUUAAUAACAGUACACUACCAGUGGUAUCUCUGCCCUUAAAUCCUCGAGAUUUAAGACCUGAAAUCAACAUCCUUUCAAUAUGUCUGCACAAAGUCAUGUGACUAAAUCGUAUAUUUUUUUACUGUUCAUUUUUUAUAUUUGAAAAGCUAUUGUUCAUGUUUUAUCCAUGUGCAGUUUAGUG